rnacentral:rRNA from 1 species
UACGUAGGGUGCGAGCGUUAAUCGGAAUUACUGGGCGUAAAGCGUGCGCAGGCGGCUGUGCAAGUCAGGGGUGAAAUCCCCGGGCUUAACCUGGGAAUGGCCUUUGUGACUGCACGGCUAGAGUGUGUCAGAGGGAGGUAGAAUUCCACGUGUAGCAGUGAAAUGCGUAGAUAUGUGGAGGAAUACCGAUGGCGAAGGCAGCCUCCUGGGAUAACACUGACGCUCAUGCACGAAGGCGUGGGGAGCAAACAGG